rnacentral:sRNA from 15 species
UUGUUGGCUCUUUUUUUUUUAGGACUUUGGUUGUUUUAGUUUCAGGUUUGCGGCAGAUUUGGUUUGGUAAUAGAGUGUCAUCAAUCAAGUUAGGUUUAAAGAAAAUUGGUGUGAAAAAGAAAAAGUGAUUUCAAUUGUUUUUACGCCAAUUGUAAUUUUAUUUUAUCUGCAGUUUUAUUUUUUGCUGGUUUGGUGGUAAGGUGUCACAUGCAAUGGCUGUUGCGCUUGAUGUCUACAACUUGUUUGCGUAUUUACUGACAUUGAUUGUUAUGUAAAUAGUUAUUUUGUACGUAUGUAUGUAUGUAUGUAUGUAUGAUAGAUUUGGUGGUAAGGUGUCAGUAAUCAUGAUAAAUUUGGUGGUAAGGUGCCAGUAAUCAAGGACCAGCUUAGAAUUUGUCGACAAAGUUGGGUGAAUCCAUGUAUGACGUGAGGGUCCUUCGCCACAUUUUAAUGCAGAUUUAUUCCAAUGUAAAUGGUUUUUCAAGCGUGUCUCUUGGAAGGGCUGUUACUCCUGAUGUCUACAAAUUGUUUGAGUUUUUCUAUUUUCAGAUUCAUGAUAAAUUUGGUGGUAAGGUGCCAGUAAUCAAGGACCAGCUUAGAAUUUGUCGACAAAGUUGGGUGAAUCCAUGUAUGACGUGAGGGUCCUUCGCCACAUUUUAAUGCAGAUUUAUUCCAAUGUAAAUGGUUUUUCAAGCGUGUCUCUUGGAAGGGCUGUUACUCCUGAUGUCUACAAAUUGUUUUUCUAUUUUCAGAUUCAUGAUAAAUUUGGUGGUAAGGUGUUAAUAAUCAAGGACCAGCUUAGGAUUUGUCGAGCAAAAUUGGGUGUUUCCGUGCAUCCUGUUUGACCCUUGUUUCGAUGACCAUGUAUGUUCACAUUUGUCAUAUGAGUUUCUGAUUUAAUCAUUUUAUUUUUUAUUCCACAGGCAUUCCAAAAGGCUACCCUUAACGUAUUGGGAUUGUUGUUGUUGCUGCUGUUAUUUGUGUGCAUGAAUAAAUUUGUAUUGGCUGGAUGUCAAUGUUGCCUGUGA